UGUUUUAUAGUUGCCGUCGUAUCACCUUAUCCAUUUGACCGCUUAUCCAUCUCUCCUCCUGUUUCAUUGGCGUCCAGCUGCGGCGGCGGCUCACAUGAAUAUGCGGCGGCGGCCAAGAGUAGCUCGGCCGGGACGCCCAUCUUCUCACCGGCCAAUGGCGCUGACGUGACUGACCAGUGACCAGGUUGUUUUUCGGCACGGUGCACUCACUUUAGUGGAGCCUUGUUCUUUUUCCGUUGAUAUUGAAUCCUGCUCCAAGUCUCUAACCGCAAGUAGCUGCUUUUGAAGUCCACCAAUCACAUGCGAGGUUAUGCCAGGAACCACCAGUCCACCACAGAUCUAGUAUGUGGGACGACAGGGUUGUAUCUCCUUGUACAGGGUGUGUGUCUUUGGAUACAUUACGUCGUCGUUGCCGCCGCCGCAGCCGUCCAUGUGCGGUGGAGCGGCCAUGGUGAAGUUUCAUGCAUGCGCGACGAGUGAUCCGACUCGCCCAAUCUCACCUGCAGCUGCAGUGUCGCAGCCCUCCCUCGGGUCUGCUCUCUCCCAAGUCUGCACACGCCAUGGAUAUAUGAUGUCAGAUUGAAGAACACAUGAUCAAUCACCAUGGAUCUCCUAGCUACCGAUGGUGCUUGUUUGAUCCACGCCCUAUAAUAUACUGCGUGCAUGCCAUUAAUUUGCUAGUACGUACACACGAGAAACAGUUGGCAGCUUCCUUUGCACCCAUAUAAUCAAGUCAUGUUUCUUAUUGAUGAUGAUGUAUAUAUUCCCUGCAAAAAUAAUGAUGAUGUAUAUGUACUCCUUCUGAUGCAUAUGAACUUA